UACGGGGGGGCAAGCGUUGUUCGGAAUUACUGGGCGUAAAGGGCUCGUAGGCGGCCAACUAAGUCGGAUGUGAAAUCCCUCGGCUUAACCGGGGAACUGCGUCUGAUACUGGAUGGCUUGAGGUUGGGAGAGGGAUGCGGAAUUCCAGGUGUAGCGGUGAAAUGCGUAGAUAUCUGGAGGAAUACCGGUGGCGAAGGCGGCAUCCUGGACCGGCAUUGACGCUGAUGAGCGAAAGCUAGGGGAGCAAACGGG
rnacentral:rRNA from 1 species